AGCACAGAGCAGCCAAACAUCCUUGCAUUAAUCCAGUGCUACUAGAUUGCUGUUGAUGUUGUUGAGGAGGUGGAGCACCAUACUGAGGUGCAUACUGUGGAGGUGGAUACCCUUGUUGAGGAUAACCCUGUGGUGGAUACCCUUGCUGAGGAUACCCUGGUGGUGGGUAUGCAUCUUUAGAGUAACCUUCUGGUGGAUAACCUUGUGGUGGUGGUACACCAACAGGGGGUUGCUGCUGAUUGUAGUAACUCAUAAUUGAAAUUUCUUGUUGAAGAGAGUUUUGAGUUUUU
rnacentral:misc_RNA from 1 species